rnacentral:rRNA from 1 species
GUAGGGGGCAAGCGUUAUCCGGAUUUACUGGGUGUAAAGGGAGCGUAGACGGAUGGACAAGUCUGAUGUGAAAGGCUGGGGCUCAACCCGGGACUGCAUUGGAAACUGCCCGUCUUGAGUGCCGGAGAGGUAAGCGGAAUUCCUAGUGUAGCGGUGAAAUGCGUAGAUAUUAGGAGGAACACCAGUGGCGAAGGCGGCUUACUGGACGGUAACUGACACUGAUGGACGAAAGCGUGGGUAGCGAACAGGAUUAGAUACCCUGGUAGUCCACGCCGUAAACGAUGGUUACUAGCUGUUUGGACCUUGUGUCUGAGUGGCUAAGCGAAAGUGAUAAGUAACCCACCUGGGGAGUACGUUCGCAAGAAUGAAACUCAAAGGAAUUGACGGGGGCCCGCACAAGCGGUGGAGCAUGUGGUUUAAUUCGAAGCAACGCGCAGAACCUUACCAACCCUUGACAUCCUGUGCUACACGGAGAGAUCCGUGGUUCCCUUCGGGGACGCAGUGACAGGUGCUGCAUGGCU